rnacentral:tRNA from 1 species
AGCGGGUUGGAGGAAGGGUCACCUCAUCAGGCUCAUAACCUGAAGGACCUGGUUCGAGUCCAGGACCCGCAA